rnacentral:rRNA from 1 species
GACGUAGGAUGCAAGCGUUGUUCGGAAUUAUUGGGCGUAAAGCGUGCGUAGGCGGCUAUUUAAGUCUGGUGUUAAAGCUAGGGGCUCAACCCCUGUGUUGCACUGGAAACUGGGUAGCUUGAGUGCGGUAGGGGAAGGUGGAAUUCCGAGUGUAGCGGUGAAAUGCGUAGAUAUUCGGAAGAACACCGGUGGCGAAGGCGGCAUCCUGGACCGGUAUUGACGCUGAGGCGCGAAAGCUAGGGGAGCAAACGGG